AUCUACGGCCAUAUAACCCUGAGUGUACUGGAUCUUGUCUCAUCCAAGAAGCUAAGCAGGGUUGGGUCUGUUUAGUACUUGAAUGGGAGAAAGUUUGGAAGAAGAUA
rnacentral:rRNA from 1 species